GUAAUAUUAUGUGCUAUGGUUUGGAUAUGAUUUGAGUGUAUCCCCUAAAAGUUCAUGUGCCAGAAGCUUGGGCCCCUAUGUGGAGGUGUUGAAACCUUUAAGAGGUGGGAUCUAGUGGAAGAUAAUUAGGUCACAGGGACAUUGCCCUGAGAAGGGUUUAGUGCUGGUCUUGUGGACUGAGUGAGUUCUACCAAGAAGGAGUUGUUAUAGAGAAUAACCCUGGACCCUCAAUCCCUUUGGUUUCAGGUCUCACCAUGUGGUCUCUUUCCCACCCUGCUAAGACCCUCACCAGGAGUCAAACAGAUGGGGCUGCCUUAUUUGGGACUUUCAGUCUUAAGACUAUGAGCUAAAUAACCUCUUUUCUUUAAAAUGCAUCCAGCCUCAAGUAUUUUAUUAAAACAAUAGAAAACUUCUGUUAUUCUAUAUGUUGCUUUUGAAUCUAGAUUAUAAAAAAUAUUGUGGCUUCUGACUCUCUGCCCCUUGGAUCACUCACUCUGGGAGAGGCCAGCUGUCACAUUUGAGGAUGGUCACAUGUAGAGAGGCCCAUCUGGAGAGGAACUGAGGCGUCUUGCCAAUCCAUGUGAAUGGGCUUGAAAUGGAUUCUCUGCCCUGGAGAAAACUUGGAUGACUAUAGUCUUGGCCGACAGCUUGACUAAAACUUUGCGAGAGACCCUGAGUCAGAAUCACCCAGAUAUGUCACUCUUGGAUUCCUGUCUGUCAGAAACUGUGUGAGUUGAUACAUGUUUUUUUUUUGUUUGUUGUUGUUGUUGUUUUAAGCAGUUGCAUUUAGUGUGUGGGGGGGUGGGUACUGGGGAUUGAACUCAGGGGAACUCGAACACUGAGCCACAUCCUCGCCCUAUUUUGUAUUUUAUUUAGAGACUCGGUCUCACUGAGUUACUUAGCUCCUUGCUUUUGUUAAGGCUGGCUUCGAACUCGUCCUCCUGUCUCAGUCUCCUGAGCUGCUGGAUAACAGGCAUGUGCUACGGUACCCAGCUCAGUAGUUGCAUUUUAAAGUAAUUUAUUGUGUAGCAGUAGAUAAGGAUCUACUGCUCCUUGUGGUGUGGGGCUUAGUUGGAAACACUCAGAUGGCUGAGGGCUGAAAUCACCUGAAGGUUACUUCACACACAUGAAUGAUGCCUGAGCUGGGACUGUCACCUGGUGGGAAUACAUAACUGGGAUUUUUUUUUUUUAGUCAUGGCAGUUGGGUUCCAAGAGGGAGCUUCCAUAAAAUGACCUUCCAAAAGACUGAGCUUCAAAGGAGUAGCAAGUUUCUUUUGAACUAGGCUUGGAAGUAAAACAGAGUAACUUCUGCAGCAUGCUUUUGGUCAGGAGUGAGUCACUUAGGCCAGCCCAUACCCAAGGGAGGAGAAUGUGACUUGUUCUCUUGAUGCAGGAAUGAGAAGGUCAAGUUGCAGAAGAAUAAAUGGAAUGGAAAAGAUUUCAGAGCCAUCUUUGCACAAUACAGCCAUACCUGCCCGGCCCUGGGAAGAAAACCCAAUGCAUUGUUCUCUGCAUUGCCUCUCAGGAACAGAGGGACAGAUGGCUUCUUUUCAUAAGCCCUGCACACUUCUAGAACUGGGAGUAAGGCUCAUUCUGCUGAAAUGGCUCUUCCUGUCAAGUCCUGAGGAGAGCCAGCAGUGCUUUGGGCUUGGAAAAUGGGUACUUGUUGCCUUUUGUUCUCAGUUAUUGACUCUGCUACAAAUUCUACCUUUCUAGAAAAACAGGGAAGAUCCCAUUCGGCAUCUCACCCCACCAAGCCACCUCACUCUUUCUCUACCAGUCACUGUACUUAGCCCUUCACCUCCAGGAGUCCUGCACCUACCUUCUUAGCUAGGAAUUAUAAGUCCAUUUCACAGAGGGGAUCUAGAGGACCAAGGUCCAUAGCUGCCAGGUGGUGGAGGAGGGAAUCGAUGCUAGUUCUGACCUCUUUUUCAACCUUCUAGGUUUUCUGGGAUUUCAGAAAGCCUGAAAGUAUAGGAGCUUCAGCCCUGGUUUCCUCAGGUCAUUCCAAGGGUGAGGCCAGAGUGAGCAGUGUGAGAGGGGAGGAGGGAGCUACUUACCGGAGGUAGGACCUUAAACCCUGUCUGGCAGUCAUUGAGAAUACAAAUAUCAAUAAAUGCUAGAGAGAGGAUGUGAAGAAUAAGAAACACUAUUACACUGUUGGUGGGAUCAUAAAUUAGUACAACACUAUAGAAAUCGGUACAGAGACUCCUCAAAAAACUAGGCAUGGAACCACCAUAUGACCCAGCUAUGCCAUUCCUUUAGAUAUUUAUCCUAAAGAAUUAAAGUUAUCAUACCAUAGGAUACAUGCACAUCCAUGAUUAUAGCAGCAUAAUUCACAAUAGCCAAAUUAUGGAACCAACCUAGGAGUCCACCAGUGGAGGAAUGGAUAAAGAAAAUGUGGUAUAAUUGCUGAUGGGACUGCAAAGGGGUGCAACCACUCUGGAAAACAGUAUGAAGAUACCUCAGAAAACUUGCAAUGGAUCCACCAUUUGACCCAGCUAUCCCACUCCUUGGUUUAUACCCAAAGGACUUAAAAUCAGCAUGCACAGUGACGCAGCCACAUGGAUGUUUAUAGCAGUUCAAUUCACAAUAGCUAAACUAUGAAACCAACCUAGAUACCCUUCAACAGAUGAAGGGAUAAAGAAAAUGUGGUACAUAUACACAGUGGAAUAUUACUCAGCCUUAAAUAAAAUAAAAUUAUGGCAUUUGCAGGUAAAUGGAUGGAACUAGAGAAUAUUAUGCUAAGUGAAAUAAGCCAAUCCCCAAAACCCAAAAGCUGAAUGUUUUCUCUGAUAAGCAAUGCUGAUCCAUAGUGGGGUAGAGGGAUAGGGGAAGAAUGAAGGAACUUUGGUUUGCGUAGAUGGGAAUGAGGGGAGGGGUGGGGUUGGGGUUGUGGGGAUGGGAAGGACAAUAUAAUGUGACAGACAUUAUUAUCUCUCAUAUAUAUAUAUAUUAUAAAUAUAUAAUUACACUCCUGGAGUGACUGCACCCAUGUACAGCCAAAGGAAUGAGAAGCUGUACUCCAUUUGUGUGCUAUAUGUCAAAAUGCAUUCUACUGUAAAAUAAAUAAGUUACUUAAUUAAAAAAGAAAAUGUGGUAUAUAUACACAAUGGAGUUUUAUUCAGCCAUAAAGAAAAAUGAAACUCUGUCAUUUGUAGGAAAAUGGAUGAAACUAGAGAUCAUUAUGUUAAGCAAAAUAAGUUAAACUCAGAAGGUCAAGAGACAUAUGUUUUCUCUCAUAUGCAGAAGCCAGAGAGGCAAGGGGAAAAGAAAGGUGAGGAGGGAUCAGUAAAGGAAAGGGAUCAAGGGGAGGGAGAGGGGAAGUGCUGGGGAGUGAUAUUGGCCAAAUUAUGUUGGCCAGUUUAGAUUGUUAUACUGUGUGCAUGUAUGAAUAUAUAGCAACAGAUUCCACCAUUACGUACAACUAUAAUGCACCAAUUAAAAAUGUGAAAAAAUUUUUAAAAAACUGAAACAAACAAAAACUCUGCAUGAGAGUUGGGGCUAGUUUCAGAUGCACGCUUUGGGUGAAAGGGGAGGAGAAACAAGAGGGGGAGAAUAGAUUUUUAUUUUAUUUUCAGACUUGUCUUCAGUCAGUGAGCUUUCCAGUGGCCAGAAGGCUAAUCCCAAGAUGAAGGCCCUGGACUCACCACCUGCUCUGUUUGUUGUCCUAGAACUUCUGGAGAUCCCCCUGAGCUCGUGGGGCCUGUUGCUGCUCAACUCCUGCUGGUGCUCAGCCUGCCCCUGACUACCUGCUGACCACUCUUUCCUAGCAUGCUGCUUUCCCAAGUCCCAGGACAGAAUGAGCAUUCCUAGCACCUACAUUCUGCCCGGUACUGAUCUCAUGUUGGGGACCCAGAAUAAAAGCAAAACAACUUCUGUCCUUGAGUUGAUCUCAGUCUGAUAGGAGGAGAAACAUGAGGAGUUAACUUACAGGUAUCAUGUUAUAAGGUACAUUUAAUAAGGGUUAAGAUUACACAAAUGUGGGAGUGCAAAAUUCAACAAUAAAAAGGAAUGAACCAUUGAAACUUCCAUCACAUGGAUGAAUCUCAAGUUGUCCUACAGAACAUGAAAGAAGGAAGACACAGUGGAUGACUCCAGUUUCAUUGCAUUCUAGACCAGGUAAAACUAUGGGAUAUAUUGGAUAGAAACAAAGUAAGUAGUUUCUUGGAAUAAAAGGGGAUUGACUGGGAAGGGGCAUUAAGUUUGUCUGAGCCUCAAUACAAGUAUGGGUUAUGUCAGAAUAUUCAGUUAAAACUGAUCAAACUGUAUACCUAAGAUGAAUUUCAUCAUAUGUAAAUUAUAUGUGUCAGGCAGCUUUCAAAAUACCCCACAAUGGCCCCCACCUUCUGGUCUGUAUGCUCUUGUGUAAAAC
rnacentral:lncRNA from 1 species